rfam:Tstilago maydis 521 chromosome 15, whole genome shotgun sequence.
AUCUGCGGCCAUAGAACGUCGAAAGCACCGCAUCCCGUCCGAUCUGCGCAGGCAAAGCGUCGUGUCGCCUAGUCAGUACUGCGCUCGGGGACCACGUGGGAAUUCUAGGUGCUGCAGUUC